rnacentral:rRNA from 1 species
UACGUAGGGUGCGAGCGUUGUCCGGAAUUAUUGGGCGUAAAGAGCUCGUAGGCGGUUCGUCGCGUCGGCUGUGAAAUCCCGAGGCUCAACCUCGGGUCUGCAGUCGAUACGGGCGGGCUGGAGUUCGGCAGGGGAGACUGGAAUUCCUGGUGUAGCGGUGAAAUGCGCAGAUAUCAGGAGGAACACCGGUGGCGAGGGCGGGUCUCUGGGCCGAUACUGACGCUGAGGAGCGAAAGCGUGGGGAGCGAACAGG